rnacentral:piRNA from 1 species
UGGAAUUGGGCUGCCGACUGUAAGUCAUC